AAGGAGUUCCAAUAUCAAUCAUGUUGAGCCCAAUUGAAUCAUGGGGAGAGCGUGGAGAUGAAGCCCAACCAUGAAGCACCACCCUCAUUCUAAUGGCGUGGGACAUUGGGUGAAGGAGUGGAAAGAAUUUUAGUCCAAGCAAAGUUGAGUCCAAGCUGAAAUUAGAUUGAGUCCAUGCAAUAAGUGAUUUGAUUCACAAUGGGUUAGCCUCUUCAAUAUCAAUUAGAUUGAGUUCAAGGCAUGAAUGGGUCCAUGGCUAAUUAGAAGUGGUCACAUGUCAAAAGAAAGAGAAGUUCUACCAUGAAGACCUCUCACAUGUGGAAGAAAUUCAGAGUUCAGAUCCAGUUGAAAUCCAUGAUAGAUUGAACACCAUAUGGUAUUUUGAAUAUUUUGGAAGCUACAGAAGUCCGAUUAAGUUGAUUCAAAUUUUGUUGGAAAGUAGACAUCCGUAGCUUUCCAAUGACUAUAAGAACAUAAAAUUUGGAGAUCAGAUGAUAUUUGAGGAGUCUUCCGAACUUCAUGCUGAUGUUGGUACUCGAGAAGGUGUUUGAUUAAUGGUGCGGUUGGGGUUUCCUGCUCCUAAUCUCCAACCCACACACCAUGAAGGGUUGACACUUGUCCAACCUUUAGUUGGCAAGUUGUUUAGGAAGUUUAUCAUUAGAUUUGAAUUUUAAAAAAUGUCCUUAUCUGAUUUUGAGUCCAAGUAAA
rnacentral:lncRNA from 1 species